rnacentral:rRNA from 1 species
AGAUUGAACGCUGGCGGCAGGCCUAACACAUGCAAGUCGAGCGGUAGAGAGGUGCUUGCAUCUCUUGAGAGCGGCGGACGGGUGAGUAAUGCCUAGGAAUCUGCCUAGUGGUGGGGGAUAACGUUCGGAAACGGACGCUAAUACCGCAUACGUCCUACGGGAGAAAGCAGGGGACCUUCGGGCCUUGCGCUAUCAGAUGAGCCUAGGUCGGAUUAGCUAGUUGGUGAGGUAAUGGCUCACCAAGGCGACGAUCCGUAACUGGUCUGAGAGGAUGAUCAGUCACACUGAACUGAGACACGGCCCAGACUCCUACGGGAGCAGCAGUGGGGAAUAUUGCACAAUGGGACGAAAGCCUGAUGCAGCGACGCCGCGUGAGGGAUGACGGCCU